ACCUGACUGUUGGGGCAGUACCAGGCUGUUCACCUGACUGUUGGGGCAGUACCAGGCUGUUCACCUGACUGUUGGGGCAGUACCAGGCUGUUCAGCUGACUGUUGGGGCGGUACCAGGAGCACGGCCGCCUGGGUAAUUGGGUUUUGGGCUGAGGUCAGACGUCUGACAGGGGGCCUGGUCAAUGGGCUCUUUUGAAAUGCACUGCUGCUGUGGGGGGUGUAGAGGGGCGGGGCUGAGUGAUUGAAAUGACUGACAGGACCCUGGUUACCAUAGAGAAGAUGAAACACCCCCCCCUUUUGAGCCCCAGAGCAGCAGUGUGUCGGAGAGAUAAGGCUGUCUGCUAUUCCAGCCCUGACAACAGGCCACGCCCCCUGGCUCCCAUGGCGAUAGGGAGGCCCCUCUUGAGCGUGUGGUAGAUGGAAUUUCAAAUCUUCACAAAGUGAAAUUGUGCUUUUAAAAAGAUCUCUUUUUUUAUUAAUAGAGGGGCCCUGGUUCUGGGCAGUAGCUGUGACUGGUAGGGUUUAGGAAGCUCAUUCGGAAUAUCGCUGUCGCCAGUUUUAAAUGGAAUUUCACGUCGCUCUUUCUUCGUGGUUAAAGUGCAUAGUGAUGGUGUCUUAAAUUUACUUUAGUAGGUAAAGUAAAGCAUCUUGACUCAGCUCUGUGAGAUAAACUAAUAAUAGUCCUUGAGUACGGUGGCUGGUCAUGGGUGUCUGAGUGUCGUUGGUCCUGUGAACGCUCCCUGGCUUCUCCCCAGCUCCUGAGUUGGCAGAGUUAUGCUGUAUUAAUCGACUGUAUUAAUCAGUUAGAAACAUAUAUAAAGUAGCAUGUGGCUGUGGACUGAACCAGUAUUCAGAUAUUUAACAGUGAGCAUGACUUCAGUGGUAAUUAGUCUCGUCAGCAUUGAUUCAGUUAAGCGAGUAUUGUGAUCAGUAGCGUGAACAUCGCUGCCAGUGCCUUUGCACACAGGUGCAGAACAGGAGGUCGGAAACAGAUCUCUACACAAGUGCCUUCUCUCGUUUUUGUACGUACACACGAGUGACUGUAAGAUCCAAGAUUAUUUGACUGUGUCCAUGUGCAUUUCCACAUUUUUCAUGGUGUAAUAAUUUUAAGGACUAUACCCAGAACGGCUCUUUUUAAAUCUCAAUAAACAUUUUGUGAAGUCCUGG